AAUAUAUUUUAACAUUAUAUGUUUGCCUUUCUUUAUCUUUUUAAAUAUGAAGUCUAUCCAUGUUUGUGUUAACAGAGGUCAUGCCCCAUGUGACGAUGAAGAGGUAUUUGGGUAAAGAUGAUAGAAAUAUAAUGAAGUAACAGUGAAAGCCAAAACAUCAGACUGGUCCAAACACUGAAAAAAAUUGAUGUGACUGCAAUCUGGCCAAAAUGAUACAACUAUAAUCAAGUAAUCUACUGUAAUGCAGCUGCAGAACAACAGACACUCUGAGGACAUCAACACUGAAUAUCAAGACUCCCAAAGAGAUGUCUGUCCAGAUGAGGGUGCAUCAACAUUACCUUUGCUGACAAGUAUAUGCUUUAGAAAUGUUUGAAUAAUUCCAGGACAACGGGAUUAGUUUUACAGGGGGACCUCUGAGAAAAUCGUGCUUCUCAGAGGUCCUCUGUGUUUUUAAUCCCGUCCGAAUCGGCCAUGUCUGUGUUUUGAUGACCUCCGUAAAAAUUCCAGAGCAAUUUAACUACUGUUUUCCGCCAAACUCAGAGGUCAUCUGAGAAAUUUAAUCCCGUCCGGAUGCAAAUGUCUGUGUUUGCCCGCAAUAUCUUUUGAAAACGCUGUUCUUGUUGUCUUUUGGCCAAAGUGAUCUGCCGUAAGAUCUACCGCGUAUAUACUGUAUAUUGUACUUCCUGAGUCCCAUUCAUUCAGAUAUGGAUGUUUUUUCCCCAUUUGGCAAAAUAAAAUAAUUAAAUCAGGACGAGUUGAAUAUCAAACACUGUUAAGACUAAACACUGUAAUAUCAGUAACUUAUAAGGUAAACUCAAACUUAUUUUGUUCAACUCCAAAAUGGUAAUGUUAAAUAAUAAAGAUAAUAAAUUGUUAUUAAUCAUUAUUUCUUCAAUUCGUUGGGUUUAUUAUAAGCAGCCAGUUAUAUAAAACACGUAGUCUACUUAAGUAUGAUUUGUAAAAGUUCUUUUGAUUUGUUAAAAUUUUUAAAGCAAAAUAUAAAACCUUACAAACACGCAUAUCCAGAGCACGUGCUCUUCUGCAAUGCCCAAACGCAUGAAACAGACACUCCCAUCUCUAGAAUUUUAAUCCCGUCCGAAUCAGUACAUUAAAUCACAGACGUCGCGGGGGACAUGUUGAAAACUAAUCCCAUCCGAAAAGUGCUUAGGACUGAUUUCCUAAAGCAAGAUCAAUGUAGUUGUUGUUCAUGUUAUUUAGACCAUUUACUACAUAACAUUGUUCUGCUUUGAAUGUAGUUUUCAUUGUUGCUUUUAUUUUGUUUAUUUUAUUUGCUCAUAUUUCCUUAAUUCCCUAAUGCAUGUUGGUCUUAUUUUGUUUUCUUUGUGUAACUUGGUGGAAUUAGGAGUUUACCGUCAGUGGAACUAGUAGAUACUUCCAAAAAUCAGUGGUGUUUACAGGAGUUUCCUAGUACAGA